UUUCCCAUUUGACUACCACAUUAUCUCCUGAUAGAUUUUAGUGGCUAUGCUUGUGGGAUAGAUAAGAACUGCCGUGAUCUGAAGAGGGGGAAUUUGCUCGUGUCCUCCUCCUAUAUGAAAUGGCUGAACAGAGCAUU
ensembl:snoRNA SNORA29 small nucleolar RNA, H/ACA box 29